rnacentral:rRNA from 1 species
UCUGGUGGCUAUAGCAAGGAGGUCACACUUGUUCCCAUGCCGAACACAGAAGUUAAGCUCCUUAGCGUCGAUGGUAGUCGAACU